UACGUAGGGGGCAAGCGUUGUCCGGAAUCAUUGGGCGUAAAGAGCGUGUAGGCGGCCCGGUAAGUCCGCCGUGAAAGUCCAGGGCUCAACCCUGGAAUGCCGGUGGAUACUGUCGGGCUAGAGUCCGGAAGGGGCGAGUGGAAUUCCUGGUGUAGCGGUGAAAUGCGCAGAUAUCAGGAGGAACACCAAUUGCGAAGGCAGCUCGCUGGGACGUCACUGACGCUGAGACGCGAAAGCGUGGGGAGCAAACAGG
rnacentral:rRNA from 1 species